rnacentral:rRNA from 1 species
GCAACCUGCCUGUAAGACUGGGAUAACUCCGGGAAACCGGAGCUAAUACCGGAUACUAUGUCAAACCGCAUGGUUUGACAUUCAAAGACGGUUUCGGCUGUCACUUACAGAUGGGCCCGCGGCGCAUUAGCUAGUUGGUGAGGUAACGGCUCACCAAGGCGACGAUGCGUAGCCGACCUGAGAGGGUGAUCGGCCACACUGGGACUGAGACACGGCCCAGACUCCUACGGGAGGCAGCAGUAGGGAAUCUUCCGCAAUGGACGAAAGUCUGACGGAGCAACGCCGCGUGAGUGAUGAAGGUUUUCGGAUCGUAAAACUCUGUUGUCAGGGAAGAACAAGUGCCGGAGUAACUGCCGGCGCCUUGACGGUACCUGACCAGAAAGCCACGGCUAACUACGUGCCAGCAGCCGCGGUAAUACGUAGGUGGCAAGCGUUGUCCGGAAUUAUUGGGCGUAAAGCGCGCGCAGGCGGUUUCUUAAGUCUGAUGUGAAAGCCCCCGGCUCAACCGGGGAGGGUCAUUGGAAACUGGGAAACUUGAGUGCAGAAGAGGAGAGUGGAAUUCCACGUGUAGCGGUGAAAUGCGUAGAGAUGUGGAGGAACACCAGUGGCGAAGGCGACUCUCUGGUCUGUAACUGACGCUGAGGCGCGAAAGCGUGGGGGAGCGAACAGGAUUAGAUACCCUGGUAGUCCACGCCGUAAACGAUGAGUGCUAAGUGUUAGAGGGUUUCCGCCCUUUAGUGCUGCAGCUAACGCAUUAAGCACUCCGCCUGGGGAGUACGGUCGCAAGACUGAAACUCAAAGG